rnacentral:lncRNA from 10 species
GGUUAAGUAACUUGCCUAGGGUCACAUGGCUUGUAAGUGGUAGAACCAGGAUUUCAACUCAAGUUGUUGGACUCCUGAGCCCAAGAUCUUAUUUUGUUUGCCUGCAACUACACUUGCACCAUGGGACUGGCCCCCUGGGCUGGCUGAUUGGAUCUGCAGAACUCUCCAUUUCCUAACUCCAGUCCUUUGCAUGGGGUAGCACAGGGGCUUCCUAAGAGCUCAGUGAGCAGCGAACAUGUGAUCCUGGCAUCUGAGGACCCACAGAGACCACAUGCCAGAGAAAAGAUGAAGUGCUUAAGCUUCCGGAAGGCCAACAGCUCAGCAGCCCUUGGCUGUAUGUAUUUCAAUGUGUAAGUGUCCUGUG